GAGAGCGGCACUCGUGCCGGACCCUCUCCCACCCUUGUGUAUCCACCUCUGUUGCCUUGGCGGGAGCCCCUUUGGGGGCCCAAAGCGCGGGAGCUUAGGCCCCGCGGCCCGUCAGAGGCCCCAUCAGUAACACCGCCAUCGUGUCUAUCCGAGUCGUGGUUAUUAAAGCA
rnacentral:misc_RNA from 1 species